rnacentral:misc_RNA from 2 species
CACAAUAAAAUAUGAAGGCCUGGCUUCGCGGCCGGCUGAAAUAUUUUUUCACCCAUGUCUUUUGCGCACUUGUUGUUUCCUGGGCGGGUUCGCCCGCCACCAGGACCAAACCAUAAACCUUUUUCUUAUGCAGUUUCCAUCAGCGUCAGUAAAAACAAUGUAAUAAUUA